UACGUAGGGUGCGAGCGUUAAUCGGAAUUACUGGGCGUAAAGCGUGCGCAGGCGGUUUGUUAAGACAGAUGUGAAAUCCCCGGCGUUAACCUGGGAACUGCAUUUGUGACUGGCAAGCUAGAGUAUGGGCAGAGGGGGGUAGAAUUCCACGUGUAGCAGUGAAAUGCGUAGAGAUGUGGAGGAAUACCGAUGGCGAAGGCAGCCCCCUGGGCCAAUACUGACGCUCAUGCACGAAAGCGUGGGGAGCAAACAGG
rnacentral:rRNA from 1 species